rnacentral:rRNA from 1 species
UACGAAGGGGGCUAGCGUUGCUCGGAUUGACUGGGCGUAAAGGGCGCGUAGGCGGUUCGUACAGUCAGACGUGAAAUUCCUGGGCUCAACCUGGGGGCUGCGUUUGAUACGUGCGGACUUGAGUGCGGAAGAGGGUCGUGGAAUUCCCAGUGUAGAGGUGAAAUUCGUAGAUAUUGGGAAGAACACCAGUGGCGAAGGCGGCUUCCUGGCCUGUUCUUGACGCUGAGGCGCGAAAGCUAGGGGAGCAAACGGG